AUUGUUCCAAUAGUCAGAGCUAUAUAAAGAGGAACACUCAGAGAAGGGUCUCUCUGCCCUCAUCCUAUCUUCUACCCCUUUGCCAUUUCCCCAUUCUUUCUAUUCUGUUCCCAUCUACCCGUUGUAAGCCACCAAUUUCAUUAGUUUAUAAAAUCUAUUCUUAAAUGAUUUUGUCCUUUUAAGAUUUAUUUUCCCUAUAAUUAUCAGUAACUCAUAAAUUUCCCCAAGGCCUAACUCCGUCUUGACAACCCCAUCUUUAGGAAUAUUUAUACAGACACAUCUAUUCAAUUCACUUUAAUUAAUGUCUUUGUGCUGCUGGGAAUUUUACCUCACUCUGUUUUAUCUGAGGCAUCCUGGGUUUUCUGAAUGCUCUUUGCAUGGUUUCUCUUUAUGGUCUGUUUAGCAAAGAAGCCAACUGCUGGUUCUCCACUCUGAAUGAUCAUCGCUUCCCAUUUGGAAGACAAAGAUGGUUACUGGCCUUGGCAUAUUAACCCUGGAGCUGCCUCCUCAGGAAGUGAAGAGUUGGGCUUGGCUGGCUGGUAUAGCAGCAGCGACAGCAGCAGAGACAGCAUGGCCUGCUCAGAAGGGGCGCCCUAGUUGCCAAGGAUGAGGGCACUGGCUUUGCACUCUUUGAGACUGGGGCUUUACCUAACAAACACUUGCAAAACUUAUUACCCCUCCAGUCCUCAAGUUUCCUUGUACCUAUAGAAUAGGAAUGUUAAAACUUACUUCACACAACUGUUUUGAGGAUGAAUUGGCUAUUUGAAAACUUGGGCACUGGAAGAAGUCCAGUGAAGGACAGUGUCACUUCCGCUGUUCACCCUUUCAUGCUUAAUUAACAUUUAAUUAAUCAAAUAUGUUGUUUCUUUUUGUAUUUUUUUAACUGAGAUAAAUGUAGAUUUACAUAUAGUUGUAGAAAUAAUACAGAAUUAUCCCGUGUACCCCUUACCUAGUUACCCCCAAUGGUAACAUCUUGCAAUAUUAUACCACAAUGUCACAACCAGGAUAUUCAGAUAGAUGUCAUCCACUGAUCUUACUCAAAAUUCACUCAUUUUCCAUACAGUCCUUUGAUUGUGUGGUAGUUCUGUGAAAUUUCAUCCCAUCUGUAGUUUUCAUGUAAUCAUCGCCACAGUCAAGGCACAGAAUGCUUCACUUCCAUCACUAUAAGGAACCCUUGUGUUGCCCUUUUAUAACCACACCCACUUCUCUCCUGUCUCCCAAACUCCAUCUCUAAUCCCUGUUAACCACUGAUAUGUUCCUUACUUACACAAUUUUAUCAUUUCAAGAAAGUUACAGAUAUUGAAUCACAUAGUAUGUAACCUUUUAGGAUUGGUGUUUUUCACUCAGCAUUAUUCCCUGGAGAUCAUCCAAGUUGUUGCACGAAUGAUUUGUUUCUUUUAUUGCUGGGGAGUAGUCUAUGGUAUGGAUGUAUCACAGUUUAAUUAUUCGCCCCUUGAAGGACAUUUGGGUGGUUUCUAGUUUCUGGCUAUUGUAAAUGAAACUGUGAUGAACGUUUGUGUACAGGUUUCUGUGUGAACACAAGUUUUCAUUUCUCUGGGAUAAAUGCCUGUGAGUGCAACUGCUGGGUCAUAUGGCAAUUGCAUGUUUAGUUUUACAAGAAACUGCCAAACUGCUUUCCAGAGUGGCUGUGCCAUUUUAAAUUCCCUCCAGCAAUUAUAAGAGGUGCAGUUUCUCGGCAUUCCUUCCAAAAUUUGAUGGUGUUGCCAUUUUUUAUCUUAGCCAUUUUGGCAGGUGUGUAGUAAUAUCUUAUUGUGGGUUUUACGUUGCAUUUCCCUAAUUGUUAAUGUUGUUAAAUAUUUUCUCAUGUGCUUAUCCGCUAUCUGUGUAUCCUCUUCGUGAAAUGGUUCUUCAUGUAUUUUGUUCAUUUCCUGAUUGUGUUUUGUUAAAUUUUUAAAGUUCUUUAGAUAUUCUAAACACUAGUCCCUUGUCGGAUAUGUGGUUUGCAACUUACUUGUUUUUUUUUUAAGAGACAAAAUCUUGCUAUGUUGCCCAGGCUGAAGUGCAGUGGCUAUUCACAAGUGCUAUCCCACUAUUAAUCAGCCCAGGAGUUUUCACCUGCUCUGUUUCUAACCAGGACCUGUUCACCACUCCUUAGGCAACCUGGUGGUCCCCCACUCCCAGGAGGUCACCAUACUGAUGCAGAACUUAGUGGAUCAGCACAGUGCACUACAGCCCAGAACUCCUGGGCUCAAGCGAUCCUCCUGCCUAAACCUCCAGAGUAGCUGAGACUACAGGUGCACACAUUAAGGAAUAAGACAGUAAAACUAAAUAAGCAAAAAAUAAAACAAAUAUAUGU
rnacentral:lncRNA from 10 species